rnacentral:rRNA from 1 species
UACGGAGGGUGCAAACGUUGCUCGGAAUUAUUGGGCGUAAAGCGCACGUAGGCGGCCGACUAAGUCGGGUGUGAAAGCCCAGGGCUCAACCCUGGAAGUGCACUCGAAACUGACCGGCUUGAAUAUGGAAGAGGGUCACGGAAUUCCCGGUGUAGAGGUGAAAUUCGUAGAUAUCGGGAGGAACACCAGUGGCGAAGGCGGCGACCUGGACGACAACUGACGCUGAGACGCGAAAAGCGUGGGGAGCAAACAGG